CCCGUUUCCGUUGACCACAAUGGAGGAAGUGGACAUGUUUGAGCAACAGCUCAAAGAUCCAGCCAACGCUUUAAUGAAGAAGUGUGAUUUCCUCCCUGGGAACAAUCGGAGGACAUGAUGUAAAACGUGCAACGUGGAACAUCCUCGCACGCAUGUUCACUGAUGAUGUUGGCAAGUCCAUAAAUUGGAAAGGGAUUAAUGGAAAAAAAUCUUUCAAUCUAAUGACGUCCAAGACUUUGCUCCUGCGUGAAUGUUACUCAACUAUACCUUUACAUAAUAGUUAUAUGAUAUAUUAGCUCUAUGGAGUGGAGAUGGUCAGCUGCUUCAGGUUC